AGGACGAACGCUGGCGGCGUGCUUAACACAUGCAAGUCGAACGGUGAAGGAGAGCUUGCUCUCUGGAUCAGUGGCGAACGGGUGAGUAACACGUGAGUAACCUGCCCUUGACUCUGGGAUAAGCGUUGGAAACGACGUCUAAUACCGGAUACGAGUCUUCAGUCGCAGUGGCUAGGAGCUAGGAAAAGACUUCGGUCAAGGGAUGGACUCGCGGCCUAUCAGCUAGUUGGUGAGGUAAUGGCUCACCGAAGGCGACGGACGGGUAGCCGGCCUGAGGAGGGUCGACCGGCCACGACUGGACUGAGAC
rnacentral:rRNA from 1 species